rnacentral:lncRNA from 10 species
UGGCAGCCAUAGAUUUGCCUCUCAGUGCUGCUUUUGCUGCAUCCUGGACCUUUUGCCACUGUCCUUUCCUGUGUGGCAGCUGAGUGUGAUGAUGGGGCAUUCCCAGCACCUGUGAGCCCAGCCACAGCAUCACAGACGUGGGGAGCGGAGGGAUGUCCCUUCCUUCCCUUUGCUCCAUUGCCUCAGGCAUUGGGAUGAUGGCACGUGCCUCUCCAGCCCCAGAACCUGCUCUUGGCAUCUGAGACCAGCUGUUUGGCCCUCGCUCCUCUCAGGGGCGUUUGUAUUCAAGCUGUGCUGUGUGCUGUGGAACUGUGUUCUGCCAUUUAAAGCCAUUCUGGCAGCAGUGGAGGAAGCUGUCUAAUGGGGGGUGGGGUGGUGUCAGCUACGAGUCCUGGAGGAAACAUGGUCCUUUCCAUGUAAAGAACUUGAUGAAUAAAGAAUAACGAAG